UUCUCAUUUUUUCAUUUGUUUUGAUUGGUUUAAAAUUAAUUUAAUGCAUUUUAAAAUUCUAAAAAAAAUUAUUUUAUACUUCUUAUUUAUUUCCAACCUUCCAUAAUUUUCUUGGUCAUUUAUUUGGUAAUUUGAAGGGAUUUAUGAAUUUUCUCUUUUAUUUCUCUUUUAAAAUUCAUCUUAAAAAUAUUUUUUAAUGCAUUUUAUUUUAUCUUUUGCAUUUUAUUUUGGUUUGAUCUUUGUUGACUUUUAU
rnacentral:lncRNA from 1 species